rnacentral:rRNA from 1 species
GACGAACGCUGGCGGCGUGCUUAACACAUGCAAGUCGAACGGAAAGGCCAUGCUCUUGUGGGGUGCUCGAGUGGCGAACGGGUGAGUAAAACGCGAGUAACCUGCCCUUGACAUUGGGAUAAAUUUAGGAAACUGGGGCUAAUACCGGAUAGGAGAUCCUGCUGCAUGGUGGGGGAUGGAAAGUUUCGGCGGUUGGGGAUGGGAUCGCGGGUUAUCAGCUUGUUGGUGGGGUAGGGGCUUACCAAGGCUUUGAAGGGUAGGCGGCCUGGGAGGGCGGCCGGCCCCCAUGGGACUGAGGUACGGCCCAGUAGCCUACCGGAGGCAGUGGUGGGGAAUAUUGCCCAAUGGGGCGGAGCCAGAUGCGACAACGCCCCGUUCGGGAAGAUCGCCUUUGGGGUGUAAACCGGUUUCGCCGUUUACGUAGCCUUAGUGACGGUAAUUGGUAAAAAAGCCACGGCUAACUACGUG